CUGCCACCUGUCACUCAAAUAACUUUCAAACCAACGCAAGAGCGAACCGUUUACACCGUGCCUUUGUAGUUUAUACAGAAGGAUGUCGUGAUCAACCGAGUCAAACGCUUUUGAGAAGUCAAGGUAUAGCAUAUCAGUUUGCUUGUUUUGAUCGAGAUUUUUACCGAUGUCGUGUAGUACACCUAGUAGCUGUGUCACACAUGAACGAUUUUGUAAGAAACCAUGUUGAGCAUUGUUGAUUAGUACGUGAACAAAUGGGUAGAUGCUAUUAAACACGCUUCUCUCGAGAACUUUCGAUACUAUGGAUAGGAGAGAAAUGGGUCUGUAGUUGGUCACGGACUCAACACGGUCCUUCUUGUGGAUGGGAAUAACAUUCGCUU